rnacentral:tRNA from 1 species
AGGGACUUAGGAUUAAUUCAAACCGGUGGCCUUCAAAGCUACUAAAAAGAGAAAACCCUCUUAGUUCCU